AGGGGCUUCAAAGAUUGGAAAGACAAUACUAGUUUUCACCAUCAUUUGGUGAGGACUUGCUUCUGUAACUCCUGGCAGAAUCCUAAUGAGGCUUUUCUUCCUGUGCUUGGAGCUUCCAGAAAAUCUGAGCAAAAAAAGAGCACUGCAGGGAUCACUUGUACUGAGCUUGGACUUC